UACGUAGGGUGCAAGCGUUUGUCCGGAUUUAUUGGGCGUAAAGAGCUCGUAGGCGGUCUGUCGCGUCGGAUGUGAAAACCCAGGGCUCAACCCUGGGCCUGCAUUCGAUACGGGCAGACUAGAGUACGGCAGGGGAGACUGGAAUUCCUGGUGUAGCGGUGAAAUGCGCAGAUAUCAGGAGGAACACCGGUGGCGAAGGCGGGUCUCUGGGCCGAAACUGACGCUGAGGAGCGAAAGCGUGGGGAGCGAACAGG
rnacentral:rRNA from 1 species